rnacentral:rRNA from 1 species
GAGUGCAACAGGGAUGGGAUGCCCCUUUCGUC